rnacentral:rRNA from 1 species
UGGCGGCAGGCCUAACACAUGCAAGUCGAGCGCUACCUUCGGGUGGAGCGGCGGACGGGUUAGUAACGCGUGGGAACGUACCCAGAUCUAAGGAAUAGCCACUGGAAACGGUGAGUAAUACCUUAUACGCCCUUCGGGGGAAAGAUUUAUCGGAUUUGGAUCGGCCCGCGUUAGAUUAGAUAGUUGGUGGGGUAAUGGCCUACCAAGUCUACGAUCUAUAGCUGGUUUUAGAGGAUGAUCAGCAACACUGGGACUGAGACACGGCCCAGACUCCUACGGGAGGCAGCAGUGGGGAAUCUUGGACAAUGGGCGCAAGCCUGAUCCAGCCAUGCCGCGUGAGUGAUGAAGGCCUUAGGGUCGUAAAGCUCUUUCGCCAGAGAUGAUAAUGACAGUAUCUGGUAAAGAAACCCCGGCUAACUCCGUGCCAGCAGCCGCGGUAAUACGGAGGGGGUUAGCGUUGUUCGGAAUUACUGGGCGUAAAGCGUACGUAGGCGGAUUAGUCAGUCAGAGGUGAAAUCCCAGGGCUCAACCCUGGAACUGCCUUUGAUACUGCUAGUCUUGAGUUCGAGAGAGGUGAGUGGAAUUCCAAGUGUAGAGGUGAAAUUCGUAGAUAUUUGGAGGAACACCAGUGGCGAAGGCGGCUCACUGGCUCGAUACUGACGCUGAGGUACGAAAGUGUGGGGAGCAAACAGGAUUAGAUACCCUGGUAGUCCACACCGUAAACGAUGAAUGCCAGUCGUCGGGCAGUAUACUGUUCGGUGACACACCUAACGGAUUA